rnacentral:rRNA from 1 species
UACGAAGGGGGCUAGCGUUGCUCGGAAUCACUGGGCGUAAAGGGUGCGUAGGCGGGUCUUUAAGUCAGGGGGGAAAUCCUGGAGCUCAACUCCAGAACUGCCUUUGAUACUGCGGGUCUCGAGUCCGGGAGAGGUGAGUGGAAUUCCUAGUGUAGAGGUGAAAUUCGUAGAUAUUAGGAAGAACACCAGUGGCGAAGGCGGCUCACUGGCUCGGUACUGACGCUGAGGCGCGAAAGCGUGGGGAGCAAACAGG